rnacentral:tRNA from 1 species
GGGGCUGUAGUUUAACGGUAAAAUGCCCGGCUCGUCAUCUGGGAGAUGCGAGUUCGAAUCUCGUCGGCUCCA